GAGGCUCAGAGGCAGGGCCUCUGCUCGGCAGGCAGAUGGUCCCAGGUUCAAUCCCCGGCAUCUCCG
rnacentral:tRNA from 1 species